rnacentral:rRNA from 1 species
GACGAACGCUGGCGGCGUGCUUAACACAUGCAAGUCGAACGGAAGGGCCCUGCUUUUGUGGGGUGCUCGAGUGGCGAACGGGUGAGUAACACGUGAGUAACCUGCCCUUGACUUUGGGAUAACUUCAGGAAACUGGGGCUAAUACCGGAUAGGAGCUCCUGCUGCAUGGUGGGGGUUGGAAAGUUUCGGCGGUUGGGGAUGGACUCGCGGCUUAUCAGCUUGUUGGUGGGGUAGUGGCUUACCAAGGCUUUGACGGGUAGCCGGCCUGAGAGGGUGACCGGGCACAUUGGGACUGAGAUACGGCCCAGACUCCUACGGGAGGCAGCAGUGGGGAAUAUUGCACAAUGGGCGGAAGCCUGAUGCAGCAACGCCGCGUGCGGGAUGACGGCCUUCGGGUUGUAAACCGCUUUCGCCUGUGACGAAGCGUGAGUGACGGUAAUGGGUAAAGAAGCACCGGCUAACUACGUG